GCAUUGUAUGAAAGAUGGUUAGCACUCCCCUUCACAGAAACAGAAGAGGUCCUCAGGCCUAACAGUACACAAAGAGUUAAAGCAUCCCUACCCACUUGGUACCAUCUUAUCAACAUGUUUCA